GGUGGAAUGUCAUCACAAUCCCAUGACCGUCCACCGACAGAUUUUUUUGUGGACACAAAGGAUGUUUUUGGUAGGGAGGAUGAUAAAGAAAAAAUAAUUGAUCUGUUGCGGUCAGAUAAUUCUGAUGAAGAAGGCAACCUUUCUGUCAUUCCCAUCAUUGGAAUGGGAGGACUUGGCAAAACAACUCUUGCUCAACUCGUCUACAAUGAUAAGAGGGUAGAGGAGUGUUUC
rnacentral:misc_RNA from 1 species